AUUCUUCCUACUCUCAUUCCUCUGGCACUUGGUGGCAAGAUUCCAGCACAGCAAGUGUAAUCAAUAGACUCCUAUAAGUCUUUCUUGCUGCUAGUGGUUGGGGUCAGCCGUUGGUGAGCCUAAAGGAAUAAUAAGGGCCUCCCCUCUUCUGGUUAGAUCCUACUAUAGACUAGCAUAGUGUUUUCCUUUUUUCUCUUGUUUGGUCAAAUAGGUGAAAGCAUUUAGAUUUCCUGAAAUUAUUUUCUGUUUAGGGAUUAUCUUUAAGAUACCGAAUCGGAUACUUCAUGGAGACUCUUCACCUUGUUGUGUGUUGGUCCCUACCCUUAGCUCUGGGAAAAAAUUUGCCCUAGUGGUAGAAACGUUAGACUUUCUGGAUCCAGAGCUCAUGGGUUUUGCCUUCAGUCAGUUCUGCUUUUGGAUUUGGUCCUGGAUGCCCUAGCUGGGCUUUGCUGCUGAUCUUUGGUUGCUGUGGUUAGGUUUCCACCAUGAGUGGCUAGAUCCCCAGAUGCUGUCUGUCUGAUUGAUUGAAGCUCUGCUUAUUGCCUGCCAUCAGAGUCACCUGAUGAUAAACUCUGUUCACCUGCAAGGCUAUCCACCUGUUGUCUACUUCUAGACCUAUCUAACGCUUAACAUCUGUCUGACUGAACUUCCUUCCUUAUCCAGCCAGUCUUCCUUUAGUUUGCUAUUGGCCAUUUGUGUUACUGACAAAAUCCCUGGUCCCAAAGCAAAAGAGAAUGGCGUAUAGUGGAAAUAUGUGAGAAGCAGAAGGCGAAGAGUAUGUAAAGUGUCCAGAACUCUCCAGUCAUUAGACUGUGUUCCUGGCAACUAUUGUGUUGGUGAUUUGACAGAUUGGAAAAGUAAUUACCUCUUAUGGAAAAGUCAUCUAUUUCCUCUAUGGAAGAUGAUUAAUAUGUUUACCUUUUGUGCAUCCUUUUAAAUCUUUUGGCCCUACUUUCCAUUCCAACCACUGCUGCAGCAAUCAGUUCUUUGCAGGCUUCCAGCAUCUUCAUGCAGGUGAACGGAACAGCACCUCGCCACUGCAUCUCAGUGCCUCAGACCUAAACUGAGGAAAUGGAUCAAGAGAUUUCAGAUGAUUAUUCAGUUCAAGGCACAGAAUCAUAAUUGGUCUAGGCAAGAACAUUCUAUACAAUUUUAUCAUUAUUUCCUUUCAUGUUUUAUCACCGAGUCUAUACCCCUAGACUUCCUCCUAUAUAUAUCUUAUCCCUCUAUCUAAUGUAUGUGAUUUUACUUUUCCAUUCCAUAUAUGUAUGUAUGUAUUUCGUAAAAUAUGGGUAAGGCUGUUCCUUGUGUAUAUAUUUAAUCUCCAUAAUAGCGAUGUACUCUAAACUUCAUUCUCUCAAAAAAGUGUUC
rnacentral:lncRNA from 1 species